rnacentral:rRNA from 1 species
AGAGUUUGAUCCUGGCUCAGAUUGAACGCUGGCGGCAGGCCUAACACAUGCAAGUCGAACGGUAACAUUUCUAGCUUGCUAGAAGAUGACGAGUGGCGGACGGGUGAGUAAUGCUUGGGAACUUGCCUUUGCGAGGGGGAUAACAGUUGGAAACGACUGCUAAUACCGCAUAAUGUCUACGGACCAAACGGGGCUUAGGCUCCGGCGCAAAGAGAGGCCCAAGUGAGAUUAGCUAGUUGGUAAGGUAAUGGCUUACCAAGGCAACGAUCUCUAGCUGUUCUGAGAGGAAGAUCAGCCACACUGGAACUGAGACACGGUCCAGACUCCUACGGGAGGCAGCAGUGGGGAAUAUUGCACAAUGGGGGAAACCCUGAUGCAGCCAUGCCGCGUGUGUGAAGAAGGCCUUCGGGUUGUAAAGCACUUUCAGUUGUGAGGAAAAGUUAGUAGUUAAUACCUGCUAGCCGUGACGUUAACAACAGAAGAAGCACCGGCUAACUCCGUGCCAGCAGCCGCGGUAAUACGGAGGGUGCGAGCGUUAAUCGGAAUUACUGGGCGUAAAGCGCACGCAGGCGGUUUGUUAAGCUAGAUGUGAAAGCCCCGGGCUCAACCUGGGAUGGUCAUUUAGAACUGGCAGACUAGAGUCUUGGAGAGGGGAGUGGAAUUCCAGGUGUAGCGGUGAAAUGCGUAGAUAUCUGGAGGAACAUCAGUGGCGAAGG